UCGAUUUGAACCCGAUUUUGCCUAGCUUCUCGGUGAACUACGGGUCUGUGUAAUAAAUGCCGCUCCAUCUGAAAGCAGCUGAUGGCGAUUUACUUCUAAUCACGGAACCGGCUUUACUGAUGAAACACGCAUGAGAAUUGCAGCCGAUUUUUUUUUGCACAGCCCUACUCUCCUACGCGUGCACACACACAUUCGCACACACACAUACACACACACACACACUCUCUCACUCUCUCUCUGUUUGUCCCUCUUUCAAUUUGUUUUGCCUAUUUCUAUUUGCAUUCUUCAUUCUUUCAAUAUGGCAUCUUCAGGUUUUGACCAGUUAUGUCAGGAAGCUGCAACUAUUUCAAAGCAUCUUGAAAUGAAAGCUGACAAUGCUGAACUUGAAGCAGCUACCAGAGAGGCUGAAGAAAUUCUACAAAUGUUCAAUCCUCCACUGCUGAAAAAGAAGACCAAACGAGCGAUUGCCUGGACUCAACAGACACAGUGAACUUUGGACUGCAUUUAAAAGCCAGCUUCUCAGCCGCAACACCGAGAACCAGAGUUGAGGUCAAUGUACUGCUGAGAAAGUGCAAGAUCUGUUUAACCAAAAAUAUAAGGAUGCCGGAGGUACUGGAAGGCUCCCCUGGUAAAUCAAGGCAUGACAGUUAAAGUUGCAGGACUGCCCAACAGCCUCAAAAAGCCAUCCUAUUAUGGAAGGAACCAGUUGGAGGCCAUUUUGCAAGCUGCUGAGGAGAUUUCAUUUGAAAUCAAUGCAGCACAAUGCAACUCCACUGACCAAGCAGAAGGAAUGUUAGAGGCGAUGGACGCAGAAGAGCUUGAAGAACAGUCCUCAGAAACAGCCACUACUGUAGCUAUCGUGAUGACUGCAGAUUAAGAUGGAGGCCAUUUGUGCUGUGUCUGCCGCGUCCUUUUCGAUGACAGGAAGAAGAAUGCUUCAGAGAAGUGGCGUUUAUGGUCACAGUGCACAGGGUGCCAAUCAUGGUCACACACUGCAUGUCAAGACACAAUGCAAACAGCCUGUAGCGCUGCAUCAGUGAUAGGAAACAUGCUAGUUACACAAGAUGUUUUAACUUUGAGUUGUUUUUACUUUGUUCAUGACCCCCUCCCUUCAAACACACACACAUAUUUUUUUUAUUUUUAUGUAUUAGGUGUAAUUUAAUAUUUUUCAUGCAAAUGUAUUGUAAUGAUUACACUUAUAAGAAUAAAACAGAUUUUUAAUUCACUCUAA